UCAAGUUUGAGGGUUGUUACCAUGGACAUGCUGAUCCCUUCCUUGUCAAGGCAGGAAGUGGUGUUGCUACAUUAGGCCUGCCAGACUCUCCUGGUGUGCCCAAGGCAGCAACAUAUGAAACUCUAACAGCCCCCUUCAAUGACUUGGCUGCAGUGGAAAAUCUUUUUGAGGCAAACAAAGGAGAGAUCGCAGCAAUAAUCCUUGAACCUGUUGUUGGAAAUUCUGGUUUUAUUGCACCUAAACCAGACUUCCUUAAUGCCAUACGUGAGAUAACCAAGGAAAAUGAUGCUCUUCUAAUAUUUGAUGAAGUUAUGACUGGAUUCCGUUUGUCAUAUGGUGGAGCUCAGGAGUAUUUUGGCAUAACUCCUGAUCUAACUACGCUUGGUAAAAUCAUUGGUGGUGGUCUACCAGUUGGUGCAUAUGGGGGAAGGAGGGAGAUCAUGGAGAUGGUUGCACCUGCAGGGCCAAUGUACCAGGCUGGGACUUUGAGUGGAAAUCCAUUGGCAAUGACUGCAGGGAUACACACUCUAAAGCGGUUGCAGC
rnacentral:lncRNA from 1 species